GUUUAGUGAUGAGAUCCCAUGCGUGUCAUCUGAUGCUCAGGGUCUCUCUGCAUCGUGCCUGCCCAGUGUGUGCAGGUGGUUACAGAGGGCUCUGAGAAAUGAUUUCACCUCAGUCUGAGAAC